UGGGGAAUAUUGGACAAUGGGGGGAACCCUGAUCCAGCCAUGCCGCGUGUGUGAAGAAGGCCUUAUGGUUGUAAAGCACUUUAAGCGAGGAGGAGGGUACUGGUAUUAAUACUACCAGGUACUGGACGUUACUCGCAGAAUAAGCACCGGCUAACUCUGUGCCAGCAGCCGCGGCAAUACAGAGGGUGCGAGCGUUAAUCGGAUUUACUGGGCGUAAAGCGUGCGUAGGCGGCUAAUUGAGUCGGAUGUGAAAUCCCCGAGCUUAACUUGGGAAUUGCAUUCGAUACUGGUUAGCUAGAGUGUGGGAGAGGAUGGUAGAAUUCCAGGUGUAGCGGUGAAAUGCGUAGAGAUCUGGAGGAAUACCGAUGGCGAAGGCAGCCAUCUGGCCUAACACUGACGCUGAGGUACGAAAGCAUGGGGAGCAAACAGG
rnacentral:rRNA from 1 species